GGUUGAGGCUCAGUGGUAGAGCACUUGCCUAGCAUGUGCGAGGCACUGGGUUCGAUUCUCAGAACCG
rnacentral:tRNA from 1 species